rnacentral:rRNA from 1 species
UUCUUCGCCUACCAUGGUCUUAACGGGUAACGGGGAAUCAGGGUUCGAUUCCGGAGAGGGAGCCUGAGAAACGGCUACCACAUCCAAGGAAGGCAGCAGGCGCGCAAAUUACCCACUCCCGGCACGGGGAGGUAGUGACGAAAAAUAACGAUACGGGACUCAUCCGAGGCCCCGUGAUUGGAAUGAGCACACUUUAGAUCCUUGGUCGAGGAUCGAUUGGAGGGCAAGUCUGGUGCCAGCAGCCGCGGUAAUUCCAGCUCCAAUAGCGUAUAUUAAAGUUGUUGCGGUUGAAAAGCUCGUAGUCGGACCUGUGUCUCACGCUGCCGGUUCACCGCUCGUCGGUGUCAAACUGGCACGCCUGUGCGACGUCCUGCCGGUGGCUCCGAGCCGCGGAGGCCUUCAAAAGCCGCUGCGGCGAGGGCCUACGUUUCAACCCGUCGCGGUGCUCUUGACCGAGUGUCUCGUCGGGCCGGCACGUUUACUUUGAACAAAUUAGAGUGCUCAAAGCAGGCAUCUACCGCCUGAAUAUCGGUGCAUGGAAUAAUGGAAUAGGACCUCGGUUCUAUUUUGUUGGUCUUCGGAACACCCGAGGUAAUGAUCAAUAGGGACAGACGGGGGCAUUCGUACUGCGACGUUAGAGGUGAAAUUCUUGGAUCGUCGCAAGACGGACGGAAGCGAAAGCAUUUGCCAAGAAUGUUUUCUCUGAUCAAGAACGAAAGUUAGAGGUUUGAAGGCGAUCAGAUACCGCCCUAAUUCUAACCAUAAACGAUGCCGUCGAGCAAUGCGCCGCAGUUCCUCCGAUGACUCGGCGGGCGGCUUCAGGGAAACCAAAGAUUUUGGGUUCCGGGGGAAGUAUGGUUGCAAA